UACGUAGGGGGCAAGCGUUGUCCGGAUUUAUUGGGCGUAAAGCGCGUGUAGGCGGCCAGAUAGGUCUGCUGUGAAAACUCGAGGCUCAACUUCGAGCUGUCGGUGGAAACUAUCUGGCUAGAGUCCGGAAGAGGAGAAUGGAAUUCCUGGUGUAGCGGUGAAAUGCGCAGAUAUCAGGAAGAACACCAACGGCGAAGGCAGCUCGCUGGGACGGUACUGACGCUGAGACGCGAAAGCGUGGGGAGCGAACAGG
rnacentral:rRNA from 1 species